rnacentral:lncRNA from 1 species
CGUGGAAGGAACUGAGACAGUCACAGGCCUGUUCUCCAGCAGCCUGCCUUCUGAGCAGCACUGGGACUCACCCAGGGGAGGUGGAGCCCCCAGACGCUGUGAUAUGAAAUUCCAGAUCAUGGGAGGGAGAGUUUGAAGAAGGAAGAACCACCAAUAGAAAGCGGUCCCCAAAGAGGUAUCGGGGAUGGCACCCAGACAGGAGCACAUGUACCACUGCCCAGAAUGUGCAUUUCACUAGACAAGUGACCACAAAAGGAGAAAAAAGUGCAUUUGGGGUUGACAUUUGCUUAAGCAGAAUAACUAAAAACAAAGAGGAUUAGCAUACAUUCUAUCUCAAACAACAGAACCAGAUGUCUGGAGUCUUCAUGAAUUCACUGUCCACAUAAAAUGUCCCACACCUCUGGGUUCAGGGAUCAGAAUAAUUUGGAUUAAAUAUUCAGGAUUUUUGUCUCUUGUGAAGAGGAAACAUGUUGGCAUAAACCAAAAACUGGCCAAGGCCAAGUGGUGAGCUCAAGAGACAGGAGGCGCAUGUGGACAGAGGUGUGAAAAAACCCAGUGGUUCUCUCGUUUUCACUGUGACUUGAAAAUGCCCACUCCUCCCAGAAGUUCAAGGAACUGGACCCCCGGACAUGAGCCCAAGGUUCGCCGGCUUCAAAGAUCCUGGCCACACACCAGUGAGCCUGGCAGAGGCAGGCUUCUGGUCCUCUUUCCCAGUGAUUUCCUGCUGGCCUGACACCAAACUCCACUUUCCCUGAAUGACUCUAAUAAAAGUUUAUCAAAACUGGCGGAGCACAGAGGACUUUUAGGAUGGUGAAGCUACCCAGUGAGAGACUACAAUGGUGAAUAUACGGUAUUAUUCAUUUGUCGAAACCCACAGAAGGCACAACAUCAAGAAUGAACGCUAAUGUAAACUACAGACUUCACAGGGCGACGAUGUGUCAAUGCGGUUCACCAACUGUAAUCAAUGUACCAAUCUAUGGUGGAUACU